GACGAACGCUGGCGGCGUGCCUAAUACAUGCAAGUCGAGCGGACUUUCAAGAAGCUUGCUUUUUGAAAGUUAGCGGCGGACGGGUGAGUAACACGUGGGCAACCUGCCUGCAAGACGGGGAUAACUCCGGGAAACCGGGGCUAAUACCGGAUAAUAUCUUCCUUCGCAUGAAGGAAGGUUGAAAGGCGGCGCAAGCUGCCGCUUGCAGAUGGGCCCGCGGCGCAUUAGCUAGUUGGUGAGGUAACGGCUCACCAAGGCGACGAUGCGUAGCCGACCUGAGAGGGUGAUCGGCCACACUGGGACUGAGACACGGCCCAGACGCCUACGGGAGGCAGCAGUAGGGAAUCGUCCGCAAUGGACGAAAGUCUGACGGAGCAACGCCGCGUGAGCGAGGAAGGUCUUCGGAUCGUAAAGCUCUGUUGUCAGGGAAGAACAAGUACCGUUCGAACAGGGCGGUACCUUGACGGUACCUGACCAGAAAGCCACGGCUAACUACGUG
rnacentral:rRNA from 1 species